UGUUAAACGAAAGUGUGUAUUAUCAUUUUGAGACCUUAAGAGACCCGUAGACCCGAGCCCUUGUCGUAAUAUUCGUAAGUAGAAAUAGCUGACAGUGCACCACUAAAGGUGAAGAAGAAAAAGACAGAUCUAGGGAUCAGCAAUUCAAACAAAGCUGAACGGCCAAGACGAGAGUAGACAAACUGAGAAAAAGAUGGCGAAUGAGAAAGAGAGAGAGAGCGAGUGAUAGGCGACGCAUAGAAACUUGCAAGCCCGCCAACACAGCUGUUCCAUAAAGAGUUACUGUCGAAUAAUGCACACACAAUCAAGAGUUGACUAGUUACUUGUACGUAACAUUAGGAGUUCACAGUAAUAUUAAUCUACAAUUAUUAUUUCAAAAAUAUCUCUGACUGCUUUGCAGUAUUACAUUUAAUUUUUGAUUAGUUUUUAAUGCAUUAAUGUAGUCACUGAAUUCCAUUUUGGGAUUUAAUAUUUAUAUCUUAAUAUUUAUAUCGUUUUGUGAUACAUUUUUUAGAUUUAGUUUAGGUUGUAAGGUUUUUUAACGGAUUCACUGGUAUUGUAUUUAAAUUAAUUCGUUGUCACGUGUGGUGAUACUGUUUGCUGUUGCUGCACGUUUUGGUUAUGUUUUGCCUAACCCGCAUGGCUUCGUUUAAUUUAUGGCAAUUUACCUAUAUUAUUAUAAUUGAUAUUGUGUUUCAUCUUAAAGGGUUAUUUUAUUGAGAAUAUUUCACUUGUACAUCAGCCGUUUCUUUAUUCCUUCACAAGAGAUUGAUGCACCUUAACCAACAAACAGCGACAAACAACCGGCGUGCCGCACAAAACUGUUACUUCAAGUAACUAACUCGAGUUAACUCGAGUUGGGCGUAACUCGAACCCACACGAAUUGAAUUCCGAAUGGAACCGACAUGGAGCGAAGUUUGCCGAUCAUUUAUCACGAGCACAGCAACUGGCACGACUAACGUUAGCGAACGCAUAUUUUACAAGUCAUCGCGCUGUGUGUAACUUCGCAUCCACAUCUGAAUUAUUGCUGAAUAUUGCCGAUAUCUUGUUUAUUGAACGAAAACGAAAUGCUGAUGCUAACUGAUAGCGAAAGUUCUUCCGAUGAGUCGAUUAUAUUGAAGAAAAGGGUGCCGAAACCGCGGUCAUCUUCCUACGAAGAGUUAUUUACGGAUUCUGAAUCUAAAGGCUACGCAUCUAAAAAACGUCAACAUUGAAGAUGAAAUUUGGGGGCCCGUUACCGAAACGGGCAAUAACGUUAUAAAUCCUGGUUUGCAUUAUUUGUAGAUGUGGAUUGCAAUGAUCCAUAUUUGCUAUACAAACUGUUUAUAAACGAUAGCAUUUUGCAUCUUAUGGCUGAUGCAAUGAACAGAUAUGCAACCCAGAGACGAAUUGAAAUGAAAGAAGAUGCAGUGUCUUGUACCAGCACUGGAAAGCACAACUUGGAAUGGACAGCAGUUCAGAGGUUGUGAUUGAUGAGUCGAUGAUUGCUUGGCGAGAACGGCUUCGGUUUCGACAAUACCUUCCCGGCAAACGACAUAAAUUUGGAAUCAAAUUAUACAAACUAUAUUUCCGAACAGCUCUUACAGUAUAGAAGUAUAUGCCGGGAAAAGCGGGGUAGAUCAUUAUCACACCGACACAUUAUUUACCGACAGUUUUUACCCCAGCGUCCCAUUAGCCGAGGAAUUGCUUCGGAAAAAUACUUACUUUUGUGGUACCGUCAAUAGAAUAAGAAAGUUUUUGCCAAGGCAAGUCAAAGCAAAACAAAAACGCGGGGAAAUUUUUUGUACACAAAAUAAACAAGGAGUAAAAUUUUUGGAAUGGACCGACAAAAGAGCGGUGUACCAGCUCAUUACCAUUCCUGCAAAUUACGCGAAGAUCCAAAGGAAAACUAAAACCUGACGCAAUUAAAAGAUUAUAAUCAAGCAAAAAAAGGAGUGGACUUAUCAGAUCAACUUACAUCCUAUUAGUGUACUACUCCGAAAAGCAAUAAUGUAGUAUAAAAAGAUUGUAAUUGAAAUAAUUCGUGGCACAGCCAUUAUAAAAGCGUGGAACAAAUUUACUCAAAUUUCGAGAGAUCGUAACAGAUGGACUCCUUAGUUUACCUGAUCAAUUACAGGAGGUGCCAAAGGGAGAAAAGCAUUAUUUCGAAAAAUACUCGGCCACUACAAGAACAGCAAGGAAGCUUUGCCGCGAAUGCUAUAAACAAUUAAAUGCUAAGGGGGGAAGAAAGUUUGCGUCUCAAAAAUCGAAGCGAGUUAUAACAUUUUGUUCAGGUUGCAGCGAUAAACCCCCUUUGUGCCUUUCUUGCUUCAAAUUACUACAUAAGUUAAUAUUGUAUGCAUAUUGUACAGUAGAGUCCGUUAAUAAUGACAUCGAAAGGAAUUGACAAACAUGUCGUAAUAAGCGGACGUCAUACAAAGCGUUUUGUGAAAUGAAAAAUCUAUUAAGUAAAUAUGUACAUAUGUACUUAAGUAUUUUAAUACAAAAACAUAGUAAUUACAUAUGUAUACAUACAUAUUAAAACAACAAAAUUGCACGUAAUCAGCACAUUAUAACACAUACAAGUGUAUUUUUUAUUGUAAGUAAUCUGUAAUUUUUGUCUGCUUUUGUUUUUUCAUUUUAUUAUAAAAACAUUCUCUAAUAGA